GAACGCUGGCGGCGUGCCUAAUACAUGCAAGUCGAGCGAACAGAUAAGGAGCUUGCUCCUCUGACGUUAGCGGCGGACGGGUGAGUAACACGUGGGUAACCUACCUAUAAGACUGGAAUAACUCCGGGAAACCGGGGCUAAUGCCGGAUAAUAUUUAGAACCGCAUGGUUCUAAAGUGAAAGAUGGUUUUACUAUCACUUAUAGAUGGACCCGCGCCGUAUUAGCUAGUUGGUGGGGUAAUGGCUUACCAAGGCAACGAUACGUAGCCGACCUGAGAGGGUGAUCGGCCACACUGGAACUGAGACACGGUCCAGACUCCUACGGGAGGCAGCAGUAGGGAAUCUUCCGCAAUGGGCGAAAGCCUGACGGAGCAACGCCGCGUGAGUGAUGAAGGUCUUCGGAUCGUAAAACUCUGUUAUUAGGGAAGAACAAAUGUGUAAGUAACUGUGCACGUCUUGACGGUACCUAAUCAGAAAGCCACGGCUAACUACGUGCCAGCAGCCGCGGUAAUA
rnacentral:rRNA from 1 species